rnacentral:rRNA from 1 species
CCUACGGGAGGCAGCAGUCGAGAAUCAUUCACAAUGGGGGAAACCCUGAUGGUGCGACGCCGCGUGGGGGAAUGAAGGUCUUCGGAUUGUAAACCCCUGUCAUGUGGGAGCAAAUUAAAAAGAUAGUACCACAAGAGAAAGAGACGGCUAACUCUGUGCCAGCAGCCGCGGUAAUACAGAGGUCUCAAGCGUUGUUCGGAAUCACUGGGCGUAAGGCGUGCGUAGGCUGUUUCGUAAGUCGUGUGUGAAAGGCGCGGGCUCAACCCGCGGACGGCACAUGAUACUGCGAGACUAGAGUAAUGGAGGGGGAACCGGAAUGCUCGGUGUAGCAGUGAAAUGCGUAGAUAUCGAGAGGAACACUCGGGGCGAAGGCGGGUUCCUGGACAUUAACUGACGCUGAGGCACGAAGGCCAGGGGAGCGAAAGGGAUUAGAUACCCCAGUAGUC